rnacentral:lncRNA from 1 species
UGUAAAUAAAAAAUUAUUAAAUUGAAUUUUAUGUAAAUAUAUGGUCGAAUUUAUAAAACUUAGCUGGAAUGAUAUAACUACAAAGACAAAUAGUAGUACAAUAAAUAUAUUGGGGUUGAACAUAACUUAGAAAUCUUAUAAAAUUUAGAUCCAGUCAUUAUAAAACACUUACCUGCAAAAAAAAUUAUUUUAAAAUCUAUUUAUUAUUUUUCAUUUAGAUGUAAGAUUUCAAAAUAUUAUCAUUACAAAUGAAUACCUCUCCCAUCACAA